rnacentral:rRNA from 1 species
CAAAAACAUUGCUUUUUGAAAAAAUAUACAAAGUAGUCCCUGCCCAGUGAAAAAUCAUUUUUAACGGCCGCGGUACCCUGACCGUGCAAAGGUAGCGAAAUCAUUUGCCUUUUAAUUAAAGGCCUGUAUGAAGGAACCACGAGAAAUUCCCUGUCUUUUUUUUACCCCUAAAAAUUAUACUUUAGGUGAAGAUACCUAAAUUCCCAAAAAGGACAAGAAGACCCUAAGAGCUUCUCCCCUUCGGGUUUGGUUGGGGCGACAAAGGAGCAAUUUCUAAGCCUCCUUUUUUAUCAAGGCAAAUGCCAAACAAGUGAUCCUAAAAAAGAAGGACUAAACACAAAAGCUACCUUAGGGAUAACAGGCUAAUUCUUCUUGAGAGUCCAAAUUUACAGAAGAGUUUGGCACCUCGAUGUUGGCUUAGG